rnacentral:rRNA from 1 species
GACGAACGCUGGCGGCGUGCCUAAUACAUGCAAGUCGAGCGGACUGAUUAAGAGCUUGCUCUUAUGACGUUAGCGGCGGACGGGUGAGUAACACGUGGGCAACCUGCCCUGUAGAUCGGGAUAACACCGAGAAAUCGGUGCUAAUACCGGGUAAUAUCUGAGAUCACAUGAUCUUAGGUUAAAAGAUGGCUCCGGCUAUCACUACAGGAUGGGCCCGCGGCGCAUUAGCUAGUUGGUAAGGUAAUGGCUUACCAAGGCGACGAUGCGUAGCCGACCUGAGAGGGGGAGCGGCCACACGGGGACGGGGACAGGGCCCAGAAUGCUAGGGGGGGCAGCAAGAGGGAAUUUGCCGAAAGGGACGAAAGUCAGGAGGAGAAACGCCGGGGAAGGAAGGAAGGGUUUCGGGUCGAAAAGCUUGGUUGUUAGGGAAGAAACAGAACCGAACGAAAAAGGUCGGUACCUGAACGGAACCAAACAAGAAAGCAACGGCAAAAUAGGG